GGAGUAAAGUUAAUACCUUUGCUCAUUGACGUUACCCGCAGAAGAAGCACCGGCUAACUCCGUGCCAGCAGCCGCGGUAAUACGGAGGGUGCAAGCGUUAAUCGGAAUUACUGGGCGUAAAGCGCACGCAGGCGGUUUGUUAAGUCAGAUGUGAAAUCCCCGGGCUCAACCUGGGAACUGCAUCUGAUACUGGCAAGCUUGAGUCUCGUAGAGGGGGGUAGAAUUCCAGGUGUAGCGGUGAAAUGCGUAGAGAUCUGGAGGAAUACCGGUGGCGAAGGCGGCCCCCUGGACGAAGACUGACGCUCAGGUGCGAAAGCGUGGGGAGCAAACAGGAUU
rnacentral:rRNA from 2 species